GCUGCCCAGAAGAAAAAGGGCGUGGUAGGAGAGACCAGCCGGGCUCAGAAGGGUACUCGGACCCUUGCUCAGAUGAUGCGUGAUAUUGCGUCCCGGCCAGCAGACUCUGCUACGUCUUCAUCAUCAGAGGAGUCUGGGGCAGCUCCACCAGUAGCUCCAGAGGUUCCAGUACCUGAGCCUCCAGCUCCACAGCCAGGGGCUGAGGAUCGGGCUAUGAGAGAUGCGGUCCAGUUGUUGACCAGACUGGUAGCAGGGCAGGUUCAUAGGCACGGACUUGGGGAUGGUCGUGCAGACAGACGUGACAGUUCGAGAGCUCGUGAGUUCCUGACCUGUAAUCCUCCAGAGUUCUUCGGGACAAAGCCCGAGGAGGAUCCUGAGGAGUUUAUCAGGAAGAUGCGGCGCACGUUACAUUUGAUUAAGGCAUCUGCGACAGAGUCAGUGGAGUUGGCUUCGUACCGGUUGUAUGAUGUAGCAGCAAAUUGGUACGAGUCUUGGGAGUUAGCCAGAGGCGUUGGUGCUCCCCCAGCAGUCUGGGAUGAGUUUUCUGAGGCUUUUCUUAGCCAUUUUCUGCCUCCGGAGUUACGGCGGGCCAGGGCUGACAGAUUCUUAUUGCUUAGACAGAGGGGCUGCAGUGUUCGAGAGUACAGUAUGGAGUUCGACUCAUUGGCCCGAUAUGCACCUGCUGUGGUAGCUACUAUGGCUGACAGGAUGCACAGGUAUAUUAUGGGGCUGGACCGUUAUUUUGUCGACAGUUGCUUGGUAUUGGCCGCUCAGCCCGAUAUGGAUAUUGCCCGGAUUCAGGCGCACGCUCAGGGCAUGGAGGACCGGCACAGGGGUCAUCAGCCCGAUAGGAGUCAGGAUCGGAGACAGCCCAAGAGGGCCAGAUCAUCUGGGUAUUUUGAGGAAUUUCGGAGUGGGCAGCCUCAGCAGCAGCAGCAGUCUAGCAGGCAUUCUUCCCAGCCAGCACAGAGCACACCUCCGCAGUUCUCAGGCAGGAGAUUUGAUAGCCCAGGGUAUUUAGGAGCAGGCCAGAGCUCCGGGGUUUCAGGUUCGCGGGUAGACAGGAGUUCCGGUCAGACGAGGCCACCCAGGCCUCAGUGUUCUUAUUGUGGGAGAUACCACCCUGGAGAGUGCUACCGUGCUACAGGUGCUUGUUAUUCUUGUGGCCGUCAGGGCCAUACUGUGAGAGAGUGUCCGUAUAAGGGUAAUUUGGGAGGUGCAGCGCAGCCUACCGGAUCAGUCGCUGGGUCAUCGUCUCCUUCGAUAGCCAUGCGCCCUGCGGGGCAGGGUACGUCGACAUCAGCAGGCCGCGGCAGAGGUAGUGGCGGGGCUCCCAGUUCAAGCGGUCCUUCGAACCGCAUCUAUGCCUUGACUAGUCGACAGGACCCGGAGGCGCUACCAAACGCGGAUACAGGUAUACUAAUGUCUUUUUCGAAAUAUAAGUGUAUUGAAAGAUCUAGCCUCUACUUUGUGAUAUAUUUUCCCCAAAAUGCUUACAAGACCCUAUAAGAUUAAUUUAACAUUCGAGGACGAAUGUUCUAAAGGGGGGGAGGAUGUUACAUCCCGUAUUUUUGAACGUCGAAUUAUUUGUAAGCUGAGGUGGGGCCCACACGUCAAGAUUUUUUUUUUUGGGACAUGUGACAAAUUAUAUGAAUCACAUAUGUGAAGUUAAACACAACUCAAGAAGGACCCUUGGGCCAAAUCAAAGUGGAAGUCCUCCAAACGAAUAUUUUUAAGAAAACGUUUUCGGGUGACCUGACUUUGGGGGGCAAAAACGGUAUUAUAUGUUUGGAAUUUGGAAAAAUACCAAGAAUUAGAAGUUGUAGAUAAUUGAAUUAUCUUUCCAACCAUAGGUCGUGGGUUCCCAGGUGACGUCGGUACAAGGAGAUAUGGACGUUUUAAGGUCGAAAGGUCAGUGGGCUAGGCCCAACUCGGGACCAACCGAGUUGGCCCAAAAAAAUGAAAAGAAAAAUUUAGGCCCAAGGUGAGAGGGUGGCCGGCCAUACCUGGUCCAAGCCCACCAAAUUAAUUAAUUUCCAUGUGGCAAAUUAAUUAUAAAGGGAUCAUUAUCCCUUAGAUGAUUCAAGAAACUUAGAAGGAGAAAGAACAAACAAAACAAGAGCAAAAAAAAGGGCCAUUUCGGGUUUGGCCAUAGAAAAUUCACCCCUCCAAAUCUUCCUCCAAAAAUUAUUUUCUUGUGGUAUUCCUACUAAUUUAAGGGUCCUUUACAACUUGGUGUAAUUGUUUUGGAAGAAGGAGCACUUAUUUCUUCAAGUUGACAACUUGUUCAAGUGAAGGAGUUGUAGAAAAAGGUAAGAAUCAAUUUCUUUUUCUUAUGUUAUGAAGGUUUGUUUAUGUUGUGGUAUGUGGAAAUGAGUAGAAAUUAUGGAAAUAAGGAAGUUUGCAAAGUGGGUAUGUAUAUAUAUAUGUAGCCAUGAGUGUAUAUAUGUUGUAUACAUAUAUGAGUUGAAUUUUAUGUUGUAUUAGUUGUGGUUAUGGUGAAAAUUAUAUUGGGAAUGAAAGUUGAAUGAAUUUUGGUUGAAGUUGGAAUGUAGAAGAUUAUGUCACUUUAGAAUGAUUUUGUGAUAUUAUGGAAAUGAAGUUGUUAAGAUGUGAAUUAUGAUUAUGGUUGAUGAAAUUGGAAGAUGGAAAUAUGUUAUGAAUAUGUAGGUUGAAGAUUUGAAGUUUUGGGUGAAUUAUGUUUUGGUGGAAAGUUUGUAUAUUUUGUAUAUCUUGUGAAUAUUUCGUAGAAAUGAUAUGAAAUAUUUCCAAAUUAUAUUGUGAUGAUCUAGAUUAAUGAUGAAUGUGAAACCAUUGAGAUUAGUUUGGAAAUUGAAGUUGAAAUGAAGGUUAUGACAUUAUGUUGGAAAGAUAGCUAGUUAAGUUAUAUUGUGUUUAUAGUGAUUGUUGUUGUUGUUGAUGUUGUUGUUGGGUUGUUGUUGAUUGUUUUGGCCGAGUUAAAUUCUCGGGGAUGCUAUAUGUAUAGGGGAGAUGCUGCCCAAAUUUCUGUAGGCAAUUAUGAAUAAAGAUUGAAUACUUAAAGAUUGGAAAUUGAGAAUUGGUAAAUGUGACCAAUUGCAGAUUUUGGGCGAAACGGGAAUUGAAUUUGGAAAGGCGUAAAGAGCAUAUAAGGUACCGACGACAGGUUUGCUGAUCCGUCCGCUUAGGAUCUUAUUCUGCUAUUUUGGAGCGCUCCUUUAUCCGGAGCCUAUAUUUUGGUACAAUCUUCUGCUAUUGUAUAUAUGUACGCUAUUCAGGGGUACGACGGGGCCCUGUCCCAUCUUAUGAUUCUGUUAUGUUCUGUAGAGGUCUGUAGACAGACUUGUGUGGGUUCUGUAUAUGUUUUGGGUUGUUAUGAUCGGUGAUGGCCUUAUCGGCCUCUACGUGCAAAAUCUGUUCAUCUGUGAUAUUUAGUAGCGCCAACUAACCUUUAUAUUAAUAUAUUUUGAUAA